UACGUAGGGGGCAAGCGUUAUCCGGAUUUACUGGGUGUAAAGGGAGCGUAGACGGCCAUGCAAGUCUGAUGUGAAAACCCGCGGCUCAACUGCGGGACUGCAUUGGAAACUGGCGGGCUUGAGUGCCGGAGAGGCAAGCGGAAUUCCUAGUGUAGCGGUGAAAUGCGUAGAUAUUAGGAGGAACACCAGUGGCGAAGGCGGCUUACUGGACUGUAACUGACGUUGAGGCUCGAAAGCGUGGGGAGCAAACAGG
rnacentral:rRNA from 1 species